GCCCCUCCUGCGUUCCGGGCGCUCCCUCCCGGCGCGGGCUAGGCCCGCCUACGGCCACUCAGGCGUGGACGGCGAGGCUCUGCGCCCCGGAUCCCUGCGCAGGGGCCCCGGUACAGCCACCUCGCUCCAUCUCCCUGCUCCAGAUCAGGACCUCAGGUCUCCAGGGUGCGUACAUGGGAAAGAAGCCAGAACCUUUCCAACUCCACUCCUGGCCCUGUUUAUUGACCAGUCCAGAAUUGGGUUCUAGGGGGACCUGGCAGGGCCUGAUGUUGUGGCCCUCCAUAGCCCAUCCUCAAAGAGGUGCCACAGUGUCCUCAAGCUGUGUCCUCACUGGUGUGGACAGCUUCUCAGGGCCUUCCCACUCCCUGGCUUGGCUCUCCUUUUAUUACCAGCAUCGCCUAAACACUGGCUAAUCCUAGAAGUCUCUGGUCCUGCACCCCACUUCUCAGGGCCUCGCUGGAGUUGUGGCUCCCCCUCCCUAUCUCUGCCUUGUUUUGCCAGCACAGUACAGAAUAAAUGUUUAAUAAAUGAUGAAUGAAUACCA